rnacentral:snRNA from 1 species
AUUAAACAAUCUAAAAAAAUCCA